rnacentral:tRNA from 1 species
GGACAGGUGGCGGAGCGGCUGAACGCGCCGGUCUCGAAAACCGGUAUGGCCUUCGGGUCAUCGUGGGUUCGAAUCCCACCCUGUCCG